rnacentral:rRNA from 1 species
CACGAACGCUGGCGGCAGGCUUAACACAUGCAAGUCGAGCGCCCCGCAAGGGGAGCGGCAGACGGGUGAGUAACGCGUGGGAAUCUACCCAUCUCUACGGAAUAACGCAUGGAAACGUGUGCUAAUACCGUAUACGUCCUUCGGGAGAAAGAUUUAUCGGAGAUGGAUGGGCCCGCGUUGGAUUAGCUAGUUGGUGGGGUAAAGGCCUACCAAGGCGACGAUCCAUAGCUGGUCUGAGAGGAUGAUCAGCCACACUGGGACUGAGACACGGCCCAGACUCCUUCGGGAGGCAGCGGUGGGGAAUAUUGGACAAUGGGCGCAAGCCUGUUCCGGCCAUGCCGCGUGAGCGAUGAAGGCCCUAGGGUUGUAAAGCUCUUUCACCGGUGAAGAUAAUGACGGUAACCGGAGAAGAAGCCCCGGCUAACUUCGUGCCAGCCGCCGCCGUAACAC